UACGUAGGUGGCAAGCGUUAUCCGGAAUUAUUGGGCGUAAAGCGCGUGUAGGCGGCUUUGCAAGUCGGGUGUGAAAGCCCUCAGCUUAACUGAGGAAGUGCGCCCGAAACUGCUUGGCUUGAGUACCGGAGAGGAUGGUGGAAUUCCCCAAGUAGAGGUGAAAUUCGUAGAUAUGGGGGAGGAACACCGGUGGCGAAGGCGACCAUCUGGACGGAUACUGACGCUGAGACGCGAAAGCGUGGGUAGCGAACAGG
rnacentral:rRNA from 1 species